AGAGUUGAUCCUGGCUCAGAAUCAACGCUGGCGGCGUGCCUAACACAUGCAAGUCGAACGCGAAAGUGGAGCAAUCCAUGAGUAGAGUGGCAAACGGGUGAGUAACGCGUGGGUGAUCUACCUCUGAGUGGGGGAUAACCUUCCGAAAGGAGGGCUAAUACCGCAUCACAUUGCGCUCUUGGAUGAGUGCGUAUCAAAGCUGGCAACCCGCAAGGGUCUGGCGCUUGGAGAGGAGCCCGCGUCCGAUUAGCUAGUUGGUGAGGUAAUGGCUCACCAAGGCGACGAUCGGUAGCCGGCCUGAGAGGGCGGACGGCCACACUGGGACUGAGACACGGCCCAGACUCCUACGGGAGGCAGCAGUGGGGAAUUGUUCGCAAUGGGCGCAAGCCUGACGACGCAACGCCGCGUGGAGGAUGAAGAAUUUCGGUUCGUAAACUCCUGUCGAGCGGGACGAAAGAUGCGCGGGUUAAUACCCCGUGCAAGUGACGGUACCGCUAAAGGAAGCCCCGGCUAACUACGUGCCAGCAGCCGCGGUAAUACGUAGGUGGCAAGCGUUGUCCGGAUUUACUGGGCGUAAAGAGCGCGCAGGCGGUCAAGUAAGUCGAAUGUGAAAGCCCCCGGCUCAACUGGGGAGGGUCAUUCGAUACUGCUCGACUUGAAGGUAGGAGAGAGAAGCAGGAAUUCCCGGUGUAGUGGUGAAAUGCGUAGAUAUCGGGAGGAAUACCAGUGGCGAAGGCGGCUUCUUGGCCUAUUCUUGACGCUGAGGCGCGAAAGCU
rnacentral:rRNA from 1 species